AGGUGUUGUGGGUUGGUGGCUUGACGGUGAAGACGCGGACGGCGGCUGGUUGCCGGACGACGGAGGCGAGAAGCCCUGGGAUGGCGGUAGGGACGAGGGCGGCAUUGCGUGCCUGGGGCUCUCGCUGUGGGUGGGUGGUGGCGGCGCCGCCGUUCCUGGCGUUGUGGAGCCACCGGGCGGGGACGAUGGGGUGGACGAGCCCGGCGGCGUAAACGAGCCCGGCGGUGGCGGCGACAGUCUACGAUGCCCCCUCGACGGCCCACCCCUCGGAGUGGGCGGCUUGCGGCCUCCGUGCGAUCCCCUGCCUGGGCUUGGCACUGCUGAUGCCUGACACUGCGACUUGCUGCAGUCGAACGGGCGGGCUGCCGCCGCGGCGCACUGUGCCGGCGGGCGCUGCGCGGGAGCG
rnacentral:lncRNA from 1 species